GUGAAGAAGCACCUGAAAACAUGGUCCAGCUGCUGGGAGAGUUGAUGAACCAGAGCCACAUGAGCUGCCGGGACAUGUAUGAGUGCAGCUGCCCCGAGCUGGAUCAGCUGGUGGACAUCUGUCGGAAGUUUGGGGCUCAAGGGUCACGACUUACUGGAGCAGGAUGGGGAGGCUGCACAGUAUCAAUGGUACCUGCGGACAAGCUGCCCAGCUUUCUAGCAAAUGUGCACAAAGCUUAUUACCAGAGGAGUGAUGGAAGCUUAGCACCGGAGAAGCAAAGUUUGUUUGCUACCAAACCUGGAGCUUCGGAACGCUAUGAAAAUAAUACAUGAUUAAAGUUUCACAGAUCUUCUUGGACAUUGUAUAAUUGAAUUUGAAUGUGAGAUUUCUCCAGUUAUCAAGAGACUAAGGAUUUUUUUUUUUUUUUGACAAAAGGAGGAUACAGGAAGAAAAUUCAGACUCAUUUGAAUAUUUGUAAACCAUGUAAUAUAUAAAUAACCACUUUCAAUUCUUUUGGCCCUGAGCUAUCUCCAUUACUUAAUAGAAAAACUUAGAUAAAAAACACUUUAAGACUCUUCUAUUCACAUUGAAAUAAAGAAUUAUCUAGAUGAUAAUUCAGA
rnacentral:lncRNA from 1 species